rnacentral:rRNA from 1 species
UACGGGGGGAGCAAGCGUUGUUCGGAUUUACUGGGCGUAAAGGGCGCGUAGGCGGUCAGCACAAGUCAGUUGUGAAAUCUCCGAGCUUAACUCGGAAAGGUCAACUGAUACUGUGCGACUAGAGUGCGGAAGGGGCAACUGGAAUUCUUGGUGUAGCGGUGAAAUGCGUAGAUAUCAAGAGGAACACCUGCGGCGAAGGCGGGUUGCUGGGCCGACACUGACGCUGAAGCGCGAAAGCCAGGGAGCGAACGGG